UGUCUUGCUCUCGGGUACAGCGUAAAAUGAAGUUUAUAAAGCGAGUAUUUUUGCGUUGUGUAAUAAAAGUAAUUAUGUACAUUUAAAUGUUGUGUACGGCAUUGUAAGUGAGGUACAAGCUUUACCCAUAUUUUUAUUUUGUAUGUGCGUUUGCGAAGUGUUGGUAUACCGCCAUAAUGAGGGAGAUCAAUAAGUUCGGAAGAGCAACAGAAAGAAAAACAUCCCGGUUCUAGUCGCACCUGGACUGCAUGUCGCGAUCAUUUUAAAGACGAUGAGUUGGAUUGGCAUUGAUAGUCUCUGCUUCCUACAUCGGCCAGACGCUUCUUCAGACACGCUACUCAAUAGCAGAAAUGCCGUCAUUCUUCUGUCCAGCACACUGUUUACCGGCUUUUUGUAUAAAGUCAUUAACGAACGCUUGUCAACUUGGAUUGGCUCUGAAAUACACACGCUUAUCUGACCGCUGUUGAAUCGGAAUUCGUUGCUAAAUUAUCGGAUGAAGAUGAAAGGUCGGAAAAUGGCAGUCCCUUUGGCACGGCCCACCACAAGUAUUUUUCAGACAGCUCAUGGCCUACGGUAUUUUAGCACACGUAAAGCUGAACGACAUAUUGAACACACAGUUUUGAACAGAGAUUGUCGCAUUACCGUUGUGUGUACAUUUUUGUUCCAAGAAUAGAUAGGACGACAGAUACGCGUUCAAUUUUGAUCCUGACAGUGAAGCCUGCGAACAAGAAUAUCAGGAAUUAUGCAACUGUUGUAUGUGCACGGCCAAAAUAAGACACCAGCUACCUGUUAAUCAACCUUGUAUGUAAAUGGGGGCCGUCGAAGUGGUCAAUUUCGACCUCAUAUCUACAGUUCAAGGAAGCUGUAGCACUUGUCACAACAAUGAGUAGAUAAGACAUUGUGGACACAGAGAGUAUUUGUUUGAGAAAUUGUUAUUAGAAAAUCUUUGGAGGGACUGCAACAAGGGCUUCAGAAGGAUAAGGAAAGAACUGGUGUCUUCGUCAGCACUAAGAUACUGACACGCAUUCAACACAAUGAACUUAAGAUCAGUUCAGAGUUAUUGUUUUGGACAAAUACACGGUUGUUAACCAGUGAGACAGACGAUCUUAUCUGGGUGGGAGCAGAAGAUUUGGCACGCCCUGGAGGGUCUUCACUGGCAGUGCCAGUGGUUGUGGCCAGGGGCUGCAAAAAUGCGGGCAAAACUUCUCUCGUAAAGGUGAUGCAGUUAUCUAAUGGAGUACUAUCUGAAGGAAGUAAAGAAGGUGAAUAAAUAUUCAGUCAAAUCUUGACAAGACUUCAACGAGGUGCAGAGAUUGGCAGCUUGCUCUAAAUGUUCAGAAAUGGUGCUGGACAUUGGUACGGUACAUUUCUUUGGAUAUGCCAAAGCAGCUGCUAUAGCUAUUUCACACUACGCUGGAGGAUGCGAUGUUGGCAGAUAUCUUCCAUGUCCGAUACGUCAGCUGUCGUGGCUCGGAGGGCGGACUGUCACUUUGGACAAGACACUUAAGUCUCUUAAUCUCAGUCCAGAGCUGCUCAAAAAUGUCACAGUAGUGAAGAAUGAGAUUCACUUGUUGCCCACAGAAAUGGCCAGUGAGUGCGGGAGUGUCUGUCUGCUGGUCUCCGCCAUACACACAGCUGGGUUGGAUGCUCUCUGAAAGAAGAUCGAGGGGCAGUUAUGCGCGCAGUGGCUAGGACCUCGAUGGCCGUCAGUGUGUCCUCCGGAGGGUAGGAAUCCCACCAGCUGUACGAGGAGGUGGCUGUCGUCGGUGUGAACACCGUCCCGUAGGAACGGUAAGUCUAUGUCGAGGUCGUCAUCUCCAAAGAGCAGCUCGACCAGUUCGAAGGGAUGUUCCUAUGCGGUAGGCCGUACUGCUUUGAGUGACCAGUAUGUGAGAAACCACUGUUUUGGAGGUACUGAAAUUUAGCACCUGACAUUUGCUGUUGUGCCUCCCAUAUAUUAUGUAAAAUGGACUACAGUACAGAUUGUUUUUCCUGAUAUUGUUACCAUCACCUGCAGUGACACAUGGAAGGAAAUUGGCUGUUACUGUUAAUAAGUUAAUGUUGUUGCAGGUAUUAUCCAUUUUAAAAUUUUGUAUUUAUAUUAGGUGUCAAAAUGAGGACUUGAAUUGUUUCUGUAAUGACAGUAAUAUUUAUCUAACAUGACUUGCUUUGUGUUGUGGUAUGUUUAUAACAAGCUUCACUCUUAUAAUAAUGAGUUAGACAAUAAGCCCAGAGCAUAUUGUUUUCAUGAUUGGUAACUGGAGUUGUGAAACUACCAUAGGCUACCAGCAGCACGCAUAGUCUGUGUGGCAGUUUUCCUAGCUUUGGUCAGUUUAGGUUGUACCCACGUUAUCUGUACAUCAGGUGUGUUACAUACCUAUUGGGUGUUACCUCAUAACAGUCACUUCUUUACAUAUGCGAACGGUGUCUUGCUGCCCCAUAAACUGGAAGCGGUUUUCCAUCUAGAAAUUGAAAAUUGUUGAUUUGUAACAUAAAAUAGAGGGAUGUUGGAGUAAAACUGAAGAAAACCAUAGAGAUUUAUCAUAUAGCACUAGAAAUUUAUCACAUAGAACUAGAAAACACAAUUUCCUCAACAAAAAGAUAA